GACGAAGGAUGCAAGCGUUAUCCGGAUUCAUUGGGUUUAAAGGGAGCGUAGGUGGCCUUAUAAGUCAGUGGUGAAAUCCCGCAGCUUAACUGUGGAGUUGCCAUUGAUACUGUAGGGCUUGAGUACAGAUGCCGUUGGCGGAAUAUGACAUGUAGUGGUGAAAUACAUAGAGAUGUCAUAGAACACCGAUUGCGAAGGCAGCUGACGAAACUGUAACUGACACUGAGGCUCGAAAGUGCGGGGAUCGAAACAGG
rnacentral:rRNA from 1 species